CGCCAGGGAACUACAAGCGCCAGCUUAAAACCCAAAGGACUUGGCGGUACUUCAGACCCACCUAGAGGAGCCUGUUCUAGAACCGAUAACCCCCGUUCAACCUCACCACCCCUUGUCAACCCCGCCUAUAUACCGCCGUCGUCAGCUUACCCUGUAAAGGCCCCAUAGUAAGCAAAACGGGCACAGCCCAGAACGUCAGGUCGAGGUGUAGCGUAUGAGGUGGAAAGAAAUGGGCUACAUUUCCUAAAUUAGGAUACCACAGACGGCGUUAUGAAACCUAACACCUGAAGGUGGAUUUAGCAGUAAGAAGAAAACAGAUAUUCUUCUGAAACUGGCACUGAAGCACGU
rnacentral:rRNA from 1 species